CAGCAGCCACGGUAAUCCGGAGGGGGCUAGCGUUGUUCGGAAUUACUGGGCGUAAAGCGCGCGUAGGCGGCUUGGUAAGUUAGAGGUGAAAGCCUGGAGCUCAACUCCAGAGUUGCCUUUAAGACUGCCGAGCUAGCAGGUGAGAGAGGUAAGUGGAAUUCCGAGUGUAGAGGUGAAAUUCGUAGAUAUUCGGAAGAACACCAGUGGCGAAGGCGGCUUACUGGCUCAUACUGGACGCUGAGGUGCGAAAGCGUGGGGAGCAAACAGGAUUAGAUACCCCUGUAGUCCCUGUCUCUUAUAC
rnacentral:rRNA from 1 species